UACGUAGGGGGCUAGCGUUGUCCGGAAUCAUUGGGCGUAAAGCGCGUGUAGGCGGCCCGGUAAGUCCGCUGUGAAAGUCGGGGGCUCAACCCUCGAAUGCCGGUGGAUACUGUCGGGCUAGAGUGCGGAAGAGGCGAGUGGAAUUCCUGGUGUAGCGGUGUAAAUGCGCAGAUAUCAGGAGGAACACCGAUUGCGAAGGCAGCUCGCUGGGACGUAACUGACGCUGAGACGCGAAAGCGUGGGGAGCAAACAGG
rnacentral:rRNA from 1 species